rnacentral:rRNA from 1 species
UACGUAGGGUGCGAGCGUUAAUCGGAAUUACUGGGCGUAAAGCGUGCGAAGGCGGUUCGUUGUGUCUGAUGUGAAAGCCCCGGGCUCAACCUGGGAAUGGCAUUGGAAACUGGCGAGCUGGAGUGUGGCAGAGGGGGGUGGAAUUCCGCGUGUAGCAGUGAAAUGCGUAGAGAUGCGGAGGAACACCGAUGGCGAAGGCGGCCUGCUGGGCAGUUACUGACACUGAGGCGCGACAGCGUGGGGAGCAAACAGG